rnacentral:rRNA from 1 species
UGGGGAAUCUUCCGCAAUGGACGAAAGUCUGACGGAGCAACGCCGCGUGUAUGAUGAAGGUCUUCGGAUUGUAAAGUACUGUCAUUGGGGAAGAACGGUUUUCUUGAAGAAUAUGAGAAGACAUGACGGUACCCAAGGAGGAAGCCCCGGCUAACUACGUGCCAGCAGCCGCGGUAAUACGUAGGGGGCAAGCGUUGUCCGGGAAUUAUUGGGCGUAAAGGGCGCGUAGGCGGGCCUUUAAGUCCGGUGUGAAAGAUCAGGGCUCAACCCUGAGAGUGCAUCGGAAACUGGAGGCCUUGAGGACAGGAGAGGAAAGUGGAAUUCCACGUGUAGCGGUGAAAUGCGUAGAUAUGUGGAGGAACACCAGUGGCGAAGGCGACUUUCUGGACUGUAACUGACGCUGAGGCGCGAAAGCGUGGGGAGCAAACAGGAUUAGAUACCCUGGUAGU